rnacentral:rRNA from 1 species
UACAGAGGGGGCAAGCGUUAUUCGGAAUUAUUGGGCGUAAAGGGCGCGUAGGCGGCUUGGCAAGUGGAUGGUGAAAUCCCUCGGCUUAACCGAGGAACUGCCAUCCAGACUGCUUCGCUUGAGACCAGGAGAGGUGAGUGGAAUUCCCAGUGUAGCGGUGAAAUGCGUAGAUAUUGGGAGGAACACCAGUGGCGAAGGCGGCUCACUGGACUGGUACUGACGCUGAGGCGCGAAAGCGUGGGGAGCAAACGGG